rnacentral:rRNA from 1 species
GUACACGCUGUGACUAGCAUAUCAAUAAGCGGAGGAAAAGAAACUAACAAGGAUUCCCUUAGUAACGGCGAGUGAAGCGGGAAGAGCUCAAAUUUGAAAUCUUCAAGGUUCUACCUUGACGAAUUGUAGUUUAAAGAAGUGUUUUCUGUUGAGGUUUUGGUAAAAGUUCUUUGGAAUAGGACAUCAUAGAGGGUGAGAAUCCCGUAUUUGACCUUUACUUUCAACUUUGUGAUACACUUUCAAAGAGUCGGAUUGUUUGGGAAUGCGGUCCAAAAUGGGUGGUAAAUUUCAUCUAAAGCUAAAUAUUGGCGAGAGACCGAUAGCGAACAAGUACCGUGAGGGAAAGAUGAAAAGAACUUUGAAAAGAGAGUUAAACAGUACGUGAAAUUGUCAAAAGGGAAGCGUUUGACACCAGUGUUGUUUUUCUGAAAAUCAAUUAAAGAACUGUUUAUGCUAAGUUGUUUAGACUUUAUCAGCUAACUGUUUAGUUUUGAGCUUUUCUUUAAUGCACUUUUCAGUUAACAAGUCAACAUCAAUUUCUUUUGCUGUAAAAAAGCUUGAGGAAGGUGGCUUGAGAUUCGUCUUAAGUGUUUAUAGCCUCUUGCCUAUGCAGUCGGAGAGAUUGAGGUCUGCAGCGUAGAUCCUUCGGGGCUAAAUGCAUUUGUGCUAAGUUAUAGCAUUUUAUAGACAACUUGUUGACUAUGAUUUGUCUUGUAGCUUACUCGCUUAUGUUAUUUUACCUACGCUUAGGAUGUUGACAGCAGUAUAGACUGU